GACUAUGAGGGUGAUCUUUCACCCCAUUGAUUGGCAGAGUUGAUUCAGUUGAUAUGGCUGGCUAGGCAGGUGUCCCCUUCCUCCCUCACUGGUCCAUGUGGUCCUCCCCAAAGCUGUGCACUCAGUUGAAGAAGACGACCUAUCCCCCUCCACCCAGAGGAGAGGACUGGUCUUCAGUCAAGGGUAUACGAGUAGCUAUGCUCCCUGCUAGGACCUCCAAACAAGCUCUCAAGGCCCGUUUUUUAGGAGAACAUCGGGUAGUCAAGCUUCCAAGACUCCGUAUAUAUCCAAAUGAGGCACUGCUUGUGACAGUCUGCCUUUCUUU
rnacentral:snRNA from 1 species